UCUCUUUCCAUCUGGAUACCUUAGCAUCAGCUGUGCCUUUGGUCCAUUCACAUCUAGGCCCUGCAACAUACUUUCAGGCUUCUCAGCUGGCUCCUCCACUACCCCUGCAUCAAUGCAGGGUAGUACUCUAUGAUUUGAUGUUGUCCCAGGCUCAGUCCUUGCAGGGGGCUCAGGCUGAGGCCUCCGGCUCUCCUCUUUUUUAUACCCCAAGUCCUUAUGUGGAGACUUCCUCAACUUGGCAGGAUUCUCCGAUUCCUC
rnacentral:lncRNA from 1 species